AGUGAACGCUGGCGGUAGGCCUAACACAUGCCAGUCGAACGGCAGCACAGUAAGAGCUUGCUCUUACGGGUGGCGAGUGGCAGACGGGUGAGGAAUACAUCGGAAUCUACUUUUUCGUGGGGGAUAACGUAGGGAAACUUACGCUAAUACCGCAUACGACCUACGGGUGAAAGCAGGGGAUCUUCGGACCUUGCGCGAUUGAAUGAGCCGAUGUCGGAUUAGCUAGUUGGCGGGGUAAAGGCCCACCAAGGCGACGAUCCGUAGCUGGUCUGAGAGGAUGAUCAGCCACACUGGAACUGAGACACGGUCCAGACUCCUACGGGAGGCAGCAGUGGGGAAUAUUGGACAAUGGGCGCAAGCCUGAUCCAGCCAUACCGCGUGGGUGAAGAAGGCCUUCGGGUUGUAAAGCCCUUUUGUUGGGAAAGAAAAGCAGCAGGUUAAUACCCCGCCGUUCUGACGGUACCCAAAGAAUAAGCACCGGCUAACUUCGUG
rnacentral:rRNA from 1 species